rnacentral:rRNA from 1 species
GACAGAGGGUGCGAACGUUGUUCGGAAUUACUGGGCGUAAAGCGCGUGUAGGCGGCAGCGCAAGUCGGGCGUGAAAUCCCACGGCUCAACCGUGGAAGUGCACUCGAAACUGCGCAGCUAGAGUCCUGGAGAGGAAGGUGGAAUGCUUGGUGUAGAGGUGAAAUUCGUAGAUAUCAAAGCGGAACACGGUGCGAAGGCGGCCUACUGGACA